ACGCAUAUUUGCUGGAAUGCUUUAUGCGUCAAAAGGAUUCGUCUGCCCAAGGAUGGGUCUGCGGCCUAUCAGGUAGUAGUGGGUGUAAUGUACCUACUAGCCAGCGACGGGUACGGGUUGUGAGAGCAAGAGCCCGGAGAUGGAUUCUGAGACAUGAAUCCAGGCCCUACGGGGCGCAGCAGGCGCGAAAACUUUACAAUGCGGGAAACCGUGAUAAGGGGACACCGAGUGCCAGCAUCAUAUGCUGGCUGUCCGGAUGUGUAAAAUACAUCCGUUAGCAAGGGCCGGGCAAGACCGGUGCCAGCCGCCGCGGUAACACCGGCGGCCCGAGUGGUGAUCGUGAUUAUUGGGUCUAAAGGGUCCGUAGCCGGUUUGGUCAGUCCUCCGGGAAAUCUGAUAGCUCAACUAUUAGGCUUUCGGGGGAUACUGCCAGACUUGGAACCGGGAGAGGUAAGAGGUACUACAGGGGUAGGAGUGAAAUCUUGUAAUCCCUGUGGGACCACCUGUGGCGAAGGCGUCUUACCAGAACGGGUUCGACGGUGAGGGACGAAAGCUGGGGGCACGAACCGGAUUAGAUACCCGGGUAGUCCCAGCCGUAAACGAUGCUCGCUAGGUGUCAGGCAUGGCGCGACCGUGUCUGGUGCCGCAGGGAAGCCGUGAAGCGAGCCACCUGGGAAGUACGGCCGCAAGGCUGAAACUUAAAGGAAUUGGCGGGGGAGCACAACAACGGGUGGAGCCUGCGGUUUAAUUGGACUCAACGCCGGACAACUCACCGGGGGCGACAGCAAUAUGUAGGCCAAGCUGAAGACUUUGCCUGAAUCGCUGAGAGGAGGUGCAUGGCCGUCGCCAGUUCGUACUGUGAAGCAUCCUGUUAAGUCAGGCAACGAGCGAGACCCGUGCCCACUGUUACCAGCAUGUCCUCCGGGACGAUGGGUACUCUGUGGGGACCGCCGAUGUUAAAUCGGAGGAAGGUGCGGGCCACGGUAGGUCAGUAUGCCCCGAAUCUCCCGGGCUACACGCGGGCUACAAUGGAUGGGACAAUGGGUCCCUCCCCUGAAAAGGGCUGGUAAUCUCACAAACCCAUUCGUAGUUCGGAUCGAGGGCUGUAACUCGCCCUCG
rnacentral:rRNA from 1 species